CCUACGGGCGGCAGCAGUGGGGAAUAUUGGGCAAUGGGCGCAAGCCUGACCCAGCAACGCCGCGUGAAGGAAGAAGGCUUUCGGGUUGUAAACUUCUUUUGUCAGGGACGAAGCAAGUGACGGUACCUGACGAAUAAGCCACGGCUAACUACGUGCCACCAGCCGCGGUAAAACGUAGGUGGCAAGCGUUAUCCGGAUGUACUGGGUGUAAAGGGCGUGUAGGCGGGACUGCAAGUCAGAUGGGAAAACCACGGGCUCAACCUGUGCCCUGCAUUUGAAACUGUAGUUCUUGAGUACAGGAGAGGCAGGCGGAAUUCCUAGUGUAGCGGUGAAAUGCGUAGAUAUUAGGAGGAACACCAGUGGCGAAGGCGGUCUGCUGGGCAGCAACUGACGCUGAGGCGCGAAAGCGUGGGGAGCAAACAGGAUUAGAUACCCUUGUAGUC
rnacentral:rRNA from 1 species